GGCUACGGCCAUAUCACGAUGAAUGCACUUCAUCCCGUCCGAUUUGAAAAGUUAAGCAUCGUCGAGCCACAUCAGUACUGAGGUUGGAGACAACUUGGGAACCUGUGGUGCUGUAGUCU
rnacentral:rRNA from 1 species